UCCACGCUGCCCUCUCCCUGGACCCUCGCUGUCCUCACUGGGGCUCAGUCUGAAUGGAUUCAGGUCAUCACCCUGGCCCCUGGGUGAGCCUCACAUCCAGCCCCACAGGGACUCCCUCUCCUGGUUCUGUCACCAGAGCUCAAGGCUGCGGUGGGACCUACCCCGUGGAGACAGGCCCCCACCUGCCCUCACAAGAAGGCAUCAUCUACUGCGUGGAGAAAGGCAGGGAGCUGCGUAUGAAAUCCACAGUGGUGGGUGCAGUGCCCCCUCUACAGAACCCCCAGGAUGAUCCGGGAAUGAGGCCUUAGCUGCUGGCACAGAGAAGGGAAGUGGGGGUGGGGAGGGGCCAGACCCCCCACAAAACCUGAUCCCUCAGAACCACGGGCUGCCCGCCAGGUAUGUCUUGAAGCCAAAGGCGGCUGAUGAGUUGGACCGCCUGGGUUCUGCUUCCCCCCCAGCCCCCAGCCUGAGCACCACCUCCAGCGCCUCGCUGGGUCCCAGUGGCCCCUCCUCUCCUCUCCAUCUCUCUGUCCUCCCUCUCAUCUUGGAAUCCAAAGGUUCUAGGGCUUACAAGUUGUCACUUUCGAGCACAUCGCUCGAGCCCCGUGGGCCUCCAGCCUCCAUUUCCCCAUCUGUAAAAUGGGAGAAUAAUCCCCACAUCUCACAGGGUGCAGUGAGGGCUGGGACUGCUAGUUCCCGUGACCGCCCUGGAACAGAGCCUCAGACCAGAAGCAGCUCAGAGGACCUGUGCUGGUGCAGAAACAGAAUCCCCCACGUUCUAGGCUCUCUGCCUCUUUUCGUUUCUGUCUUGUUCCUCAUCAAAAACUCUUUGCUUUCUGCCUUUUUUUUUUCUUCCUCCAUCAGUUUCUUGGUCUGUGUCUUUCUGUCUCUCUCCUUCCUUUCCUAUAUCAAGGCCGUCAGGUACGGCACAGUGGCGCAGUGUGUUCACUGCACCAGGGAAUGCAUCCUCAGGUGUGGCGCGGGAGGCGAACUCCGGCCGCACUCGGCUCACCAGGCCGAGUGUCUUAGCUUGCGCCCGGGGCUGCCUUGCCCUGUGUCUCCCUUGUCUGUCUGUCUCCCUCCCCGUCUCUCUCUCUC